rnacentral:rRNA from 1 species
AAUGUAUGCAUUCACUCUGAUGGCAGCAACUGCCGCGUGAGUGAAGAAGGCUCUUCGGGUCGUAAAGCUCUGUUGUUCGAGAAGAAUGGGCGGCAGAGUAUCUGUUGUCGGCGUGACGGUAUCCAACCAGAAAGCCCCGGCUAACUACGUGCCAGCAGCCGCGGUAAUACGUAGGUGGCAAGCGUUAUCCGGAUUUAUUGGGCGUAAAGCGAGCGCAGGCGGUUUUUUAAGUCUGAUGUGAAAGCCCUCGGCUUAACCUAGGAAUAGCAUUUGAAACUGGGAAACUUGAGUGCUGAAGAGGAGGGUGGAACUCCAUGUGUAGCGGUGAAAUGCGUAGAUAUAUGGAAGAACACCGGUGGCGAAGGCGGCUGCCUGGACUGAUACUGACGCUCAGGUUCGAAAGCAUGGGGAGCAAACAGGAUUAGAUACCCUGGUAGUCCAUGCCGUAAACGAUGACUGCUUGGAGUUGGAGGGCUUCCGCCCUUCAUUGCCGAACUUAACGCAUUAAGCAUUCCGCCGGGGGAGUACGACCGCAAGGUUAAAACUCAAUGUUUGCCCGGGGGA